rnacentral:tRNA from 1 species
UUGGGGGCUAGCUCAGUUGGUAUAUUGCCUGCCUUGCAUGCACAAGGACCUGGGUUCAAUCCCCAGCACCCCCCCCAAA